CUGUUGCUCGUGAAGGCCACGCUUGAAACCGCUGGCUGCAAGAAUAUUGACGGCCAGGCGAUGGAGGAGCUGCUGGGAAAGCUGAGGCACUCAGCGCACUGUGCCGAGGACUUGUUGGACGAGCUGGACUACUUCCGCAUCCAUGAUGACCUCCAUGGCAUGUAUGACGCUGCUGCACAUCAUCCCAAGGGCGGCGUCCACAACCUUGCCCUCAAUGCUCGUCAUGCUGCCAAAGCCAUUGGCAAACUGGUUGGUAUAUCCGCAAGCUCGUUUGCUGCCAGCCCUGUAGGUGAUCCUGAAGAAGUACAAGAUGCAAGACACCAGGCCGGCUGUUGUGCUUGGCCACGUGCCAGGCAGAAGUCAAAUGGAAACUCCUCGACAAUGCCAAAUGCCAAUCAGGAGGUCAGCGGAUGCAUGCCCAAGCUCGGUAAACUCAUCCCUUGCUCAUCUCUUCCACAUGUUCAUGGUGAUCAUUCCAGCCAGCUAGCUCUGUGUGGUGCACCAGAGAGAGAAACACCAACGGUGGGGUUUAAUAGGGUUGUUGUCUCUGAAAGAAUGAAGCACAUUGUAGAGCAACUGCAACCUGUGCGCAGAGAGGUUACCAAGAUUAUGCAAAGUUGUGACCCCAUUACUGUCCCAAAUAUUGGCCAGAGUCAUCCCAUCACCACCAGUCAAAGUAUAGAGCCAAAAUUGUAUGGGAGGGAUGACAUCAUGAUUAACAUCAUACAUGAUAUGACCAAGGGUAAAUGCCAUAGCAAGGAUCUAAUUGUGCUUCCAAUUGUUGGUCCAGGGGGGAUAGGGAAGACAACUCUCAUACAACACAUAUAUCACAAUAAAGAAGUGCAAAAUCAUUUUCAAGUAAUGAUUUGGGUAUGUGUAUCCCUCAAUUUCAAUUUGAAUAAGCUGCUUGAAGAUAUUAAAAAAGAUAUCCCUCCGGUUGAAGGGGAAAGGGGGGAUAGACCAGAAGAGCUGAUUGCACAAAGAUUAAAAUCUAGAAAGUUUUUGCUUGUAUUGGAUGAUAUAUGGGAGUGUAGUAAUGAGGAUGACUGGGAAAGGUUAUUGUUGCCACUUAAAAUAUCACAAGAAAAUGGUAGCAUGAUUCUAGUCACAACUCGGUUUCCAUCAAUAGCAAAGAUGGUUGGAACAACUGACCAUUCAAUAGAAUUAGAAGGUUUGGAACCUAAAUACUUUAGGGAGUUGGUCCAUGCAUUUAUCUUUGGUGAUGACCAGUCUAGAAGGGAUCAUAGUUUUUUGCUUGAGACCGGAGAUAAGAUAAUGAUAAAACUGAAGGGAUCCCCACUUGCAGCAAAAACUGUUGGUAGAUUACUGAGGAAAGACCUUAGUUUGCGUCACUGGAAAAGGGUCCUAGAAAGUAAAGAAUGGGAGAGGCAGACCGGUGUCAAUGAUAUUAUGCCUGCCUUGAAGCUCAGCUAUGACUAUCUCCCUUUCCAUUUGCAACAAUGUUUUUGCUAUUCUGCACUGUUUCCUGAAGAUUUCCAUUUCAACAGCAGCCAACUGAUCAACUUGUGGAUAGGACUAGAUAUAUUACAACCCGAUGUUCUAAACCAAACAUUUGAAUACAUAGGUUUGAGCAAUUUAAAUGAUUUGGUAACACAUGGGUUUUUCAGAGAAGAGAAAUCUAAUGGGCGUCCGCAAUAUGUAAUGCAUGAUCUGCUACAUGAUUUAGCAUUGCAAGUUGCAUCUCAUGAUUGCAUUAGUUUACAUUGCUCCAACAUAGGGUCAUUGGGAAUUCAGCCAUCCAUCCGUCACUUGUCUCUAAUCAUAGAUGAUGAUGAUACAAUGUCUCAUGAAAACUUUAAGAGUGAACUCAAAAAGCUGAAGAAAAAAUUGAAGGUUAAACAAUUGCACACUUUGAUGUUAUUUGGAGAAAUGGAUGAAAGCUUUACAAACAUUUUGGGUGAUUUGUUUAGUGAAGCAAAUGCUCUUCGCGUUCUCCAUUUGGUUAACAUGCCGUCUUCAGUGGAGUCCAUGGUACAUAACUUUUCAGCACUUCUCCACCUAAGAUACCUGUGUUUGGGGACAAAGUAUAAGAGGGAGAUGCAUUUACCACUUACAAUUUCUAGAUUUUAUCAUUUAAGGAUUUUGGAUCUAGAAUCAUGGUACUGCUGUCGUGAUUUGCCCAAAGACUUGAGCAACCUUGCAAAAUUGCACCAUUUUUAUACCCCAAGUGAUGAGUUGCAUUCUGGUAUUUUUAAUGUUGGAAGACUUGUACUCUUAGAAGAGUUGAAGGUAUUUAAAGUCAAUAAAGAAAGUGAAGGAUUCGAACCAAAGCAACUAGAGCAUUUGACAGAACUAAGAGAGCUUGGCAUGUAUAACCUUGAGACUAUACACAUGAAAGAAGAAGCAGCCAAAGCAAAACUGAUAGAGAAAAAAUACUUGGAAAGGUUAACAUUGGAUUGGGACAGUAAGCGGUCUCAUACCGAGCCUGGUGUGGAAGCAGCUGUCAUUGAGAGCCUUCAACCACACAGAUAUCUUCAAGAGUUGUGCAUUAGAGGGCACAGAGGCCCUUGUUGUCCAACAUGGUUGGGUGAUAAGCUCGUAUUUGAAGCUCUUCAAUCACUUAAUCUCUCUGGUGUUUCUUGGGAACAUCUUCCUCAUUUGGGGAAGAUGUGGGAUCUUGGUAAAUUAAUAUUGAAGCAUAUUGACACAAUGAAGGAGUUUGUUACGGAACAAAGCUUUUGUAGGCUCAUAAGGCUUGAACUUGUUGGCUUGGGAUGUUUUGAAAAAUGGGUACCAUCACAUGACUCUCAUAUGUUUCCUCUUCUGCAAGUACUGAUUAUCAGACACUGCCCUAAACUCUUGGAUUUGCCAUUUUCAAACCACAUUGGUUACCCACCAGAUGAAGACUGGAACAUUGAUUGGUUUCCCAAAUUGCAAGACCUGAAGAUACAAAAUUGUCCAGAAUUGAUGUUAGUGGCUCACAUCCCCUGGACUGAAACUCUAUGUCGUGUCAAUAUAAAUGAUGUAAAGCUACUAGUGAUGCUUGGGUACAAUUCAGAAUCAUCCUAUUUGUCUAUUACUGGGAAGGAUGAUCUACAGAGCUUAGAUCAGGUGAUAUCAUUCAGUAAACUGACAGGGCUCGAGGAGCUAACUCUCAAAAAGUGCCCACCUCUGGAGUCGAAGCACCUUCUGAUGCUAACCUCACUGAAGACAUUGGUUGCAGAGGGUUUGAAUGGUGUGGUUGGGCUAGGAGGUGAGGGUGAUGUGGAAUGGCAGCAUCCUGUUGAGCAUCUUGUUGUCCAGGAAUCACGCAGUGCUAGUGGGAAGGACUUGACAGAGCUCCUCUCCCACCUCCCAAGGCUCUCCCAAUUGAGGAUCAUAAAGUGUGAAAUAACACAACUGGCAGUGGGGGUGGAUCUGCAACACACAACGUCAGUAACAACAUCAGAGGUGGAGCAGGAGAAAGAAGACGAUGGGCUGCUGCUCUUCCCAGCCCAUCUCUCUGACUCACUACGGCAGUUGGUUAUCGAGGAAUGCCCAGAGCUGGUCCUGGUGGACACCCCUUCAACUUCUGUUCCUGCCCGAGGUGGAGGUGGGCUCCAAGCCCUGCGAUCCCUCCAGAGGUUACAAAUUCGGUUCAGCCCCAAGUUCCUCUUAUCCGUUGGCUUGUUUUCAUCUCCUUCCUUGCAAGUCCUUGAGAUUUCCGGUGCGGAAGGCAUGGAGACGCUGGAGCAG
rnacentral:rRNA from 1 species